CGCUCCGCAAUUUUUCGUCCAAAAUAGUCCUCAAGCCGUGGUAUCCUCCAAAUUAACGUGUCCAGUUAAUAUUUAUAAAUUAUAUACACUAAUCCAAAAUUCGAUGGGAUUUUGGAGCUGAACAGAGUCCAAGGUGUCCACCCAAGAAAUUAAUGUCCAAGAAUUUCCCAAUUUAAAUCAUCCAAUGUCCAGGUGACGUGUCAAGCUAUGUGUUCA
rnacentral:lncRNA from 1 species